AAUAUUUCUAACAUUGGUAUCUUACUGUAAAUGUCAACACACGGGACUUGUUUACUGUGGUACUGUGGUGCUGUGGGGCGGAGUACUGAGAUGCUGAAUUUUGAAGCUGCCAAACAGAGAGUUAGGAGUUGAUUGGUUUAGAAUAUGGUUGCAGUGUUGACAGCUGCCUUAAUGACUGCUGCAGAGAUCUCCAAUCUGUUUUCUGCAUUAGGAGUAUUAAUAUGCUUCAUCUGCAUGGUCAUCUUUAUUAUACGGCUACAAGGGGAAGAUUUAUUUGGGGCCUCUGUGGUGCAUGUUGCUCAGCCACCAGUGGCCCAGGUAGAAUUCCAGAAAGUUGCUGUUCCAUUUUCUCUUGAACUGCACAAGCCUGGUGAUGCAUCAUUUGCUGAUAUCCAGUUGAAAAUACGCAGUGAGGUGUCAUACAUUAUGCGCAGUUUCUGGGGCGUUCCCUCCGACCACCUUCACGCUCUGCUGAUGUCCUCCUGGUCGGGCUUCUUCAUGCACUUAAUUGAAAAACCAUCAGUUAAAGCAGAGAUUACAGAUAAGGUUGUGAGUAAUGACAUCGAUGAGGAAACAGAGUGCGUGAAGCAUGUUGGCAUCCGUCCCAUUGCUCCGCCACUCACUCUUGGAAUGUCCCCAAGGAAAAAUUACCCUCUGGUUGUUUGCAUUAUGCGCCAAGACUCACUUCAGCAGGCUGAUGCAAAUGGAGUGGGGGCAUUGAUCACCAUCAUCCACAUCAAGGAUUCUGAAUGUCAGAUCCCCACCUGCAUCCUACACCAGUACCUCAAGCAGUACUCAGGUCAACUCACCAAGUUACAGGCUUUGUACACACAGGGCAAUAAUGGAAGCCAGAAAUCUGAAGAUAGAAAUAGUGAUUCUUCAGAUGAAGAGGUGGAAGUUGAGAGUAAGGGUACAAGUAAUGACAUAAAUGAGGAGGAGGCAGAGGUACCCCUUGAGGAAGCCUGUGUUGUGUGUCAGACCAAAAAGACUACACGUGCUUUAUUGCCUUGUCGUCACGUUUGUGUAUGUGAUGUGUGCUGCGGGCGCCUAGAUAACUGCCCCAUGUGUCGUGCUCGUAUUCUCGCGUACUUCCUCGUAGCUCCAGAAGAUUCAUUGUCUGUCAGUGAGGAUGAGACAGUUGAGGUACUGGAACCCCCUUCAGCUUGGCGACGGCUAAAUGAUACAGUGACACGUAUGAUAGGUGCAGAACAACAGUGAUAAAGUAUGGUAGAAGGUUAGAACAACAGUGAUAAAUUAUGAUGGAAGGCUAGAACAACAGUGAUAAAGUAUGAUAAAAGGUUAGAACAACAGUGAUAGAGUAUGAUAGAAGGUUAGAACAACAGUGAUAAAGGUAUAGGAGGUUAGAACAACAGUGAUAGAGUAUGAUAGAAGGUUAGAACAACAGUGAUAAAGGUAUAGGAGGUUAGAACAACAGUGAUAAUGUUGGAGAGAUUUAUUUUUUGUUUAAAGUUUGUACAGUAGUCAGGAAUAUGUAGGUACAGAUGGUGCUCGCUUAAUGUUAGUCCAUUCAAUGUCGUUUUGAUUUUACGUUGUGGACCCCCAAAAUUUAGUACCACAAAGCUUAUACAAUGUGAGAGCUCUUGUUUUUACACAAUACCUUUAAUAGCUGUUGAAUAUGGUGCAAAGCUGAAACUUAAUGUGAGAGCGUUUUUGUUUACAGUUUAGUUAAGAAUUUACCUAAAACAUAUGGGAAUUCCAACUAGAAUGUCAAAACUAUCAAGUACGUUAAUAUAUUUACGGAGUCCCCUAUAUUUACAGUAGAUGCAAGCUGUCAUAGGAAACAUUGCCAUAAAUGUGUACCCCUUAAUUGUUUCUUGUGGGAUAAAUAGCUUCACACAUCCCAAUUUUGCACUUCGCAUAUGUUUUCAGGAAUGGAACUGUUGCUAUAAAUGAAUACCAUCUGUAUGUAUCGAUGAAAUAAAGGUUUUGUUUAAUUUCAGAAAGAAACGGUCAUUUUAGAUAUAGAAAAAUAACCAGAAAUUACCCUUUCUAGGACCAAAAUCACCCCUUGUACAUAACUAACCUCUGCUUAUUAUAUUCAGCUUAUGGUAAUUUUGGUUUAAAUUUGUGUCAUUUUGAUUAACUUGGCAGAUUUCAGGAACAGAGAGCCUCAUUGUUUACUGUAAACUGCCUGUACUAUAGUGUGGGAAUGAAUGUGUAUUGACUUAAAGAUGAAAUAGAUUGUUAAUUUUAUGGCAUUGGUAUAUGGCUUUAAGAGUGGGGCAGUAGUGACAUUUGAAGUGUAUUUUAGUGAAAGUAAGAGGUACCAUUGUGUAGUUGGUGAUGGUAAGAGGUACUGUACCAUUGUAUAGUUGGUGAUGGUAAGAGAUACUGAACCAUUGUAUAGUUGGUGAUGGUAAGAGGUACUGUACCAUUGUAUAGUUGGUGAUGGUAAGAAAUACUGUACCAUUGUAUAGUUGGUGAUGGUAAGAGAUACUGUACCAUUGUAUAGUUGGUGAUGGUAAGAGGUACUGUACCAUUGUAUAGUUGGUGAUGGUAAGAGAUACUGUACCAUUGUAUAGUUGGUGAUGGUAAGAGGUACUGUACCAUUGUAUAGUUGGUGAUGGUAAGAGGUACUGUACCAUUGUAUAGUUGGUGAUGGUAAGAGGUACUGUACCAUUGUAUAGUUGGUGAUGGUAAGAGGUACUGUACCAUUGUAUAGUUGGUGAUGGUAAGAGAUACUGUACCAUUGUAUAGUUGGUGAUGGUAAGGGGUACCAUUGUAUAGUUGGUGAUGGUAAGAGGUACCAUUGUAUAGUUGGUGAUGGUAAGAGGUAUCGUUGUAUAAUUGGUAUUCUUGGAACACAAUUUGGGCAUGUGACCAGACUGGUUUAGGGUGGCAUUAUUUUCAUUGUUGUUCUCAGAGCUAGUCAUUGAUAUAUAAGGUCCUUAACCAACCAUGUGGGAAUGCCCCUUAACAAAACCUCGAGAAAUGUAUGAAAGUUGUUAAUGUUUGUUUUGUAAAUACUGCAGUGAAAAGCUUUAAUUGAUGGGGUAAAACAGUACACCUAAUAGUACUGUACAGUAUGUGUAAUACUGGAGGAGGAUUGUGUACCUGAACCAGCAACCUGAGGACAUUUCCUUGAGGAAAAUAAAUGCUUUCUUAUUUAAUGAGAAGGCCAAAGUGUUGACAAGGAAAUUCUAGACCAUUUUGUUGGUUCAUUUCAUAUAGAGCCAGAUUAAGACAUACUGAGGCCUUAAAGUGUGUAAAGAUUUAGAGCUCUCAUACCAUAAUAAAAAAUAUAGUAAAGAGAAAGAACUAUUACAUUCUAAUAGCAAGGGGAAUGAAAAAAUAAAUGAUAGAACCUUAUAUUUUCAUAUACAGUACAGUAUACAUAGACAAAAAUGCAAUGAACAACUCAUAACCUAAAUAAAAUAUACAUCUUGCAAAAAACCUUAUUUGCAUUAUCAUAUGCCUUAUGAUUUCUUAAUUAGCAUAUUUGAAAUUGAAGACUUAUGUCAUAAAGCAUUGCACAAAUCAGCACUUAGUAAAUGGAAGCAGUAAUGCAAGUUGCACUGUCCCUUCUGUUUGCACAAAUUUAAAACAUUCUCUUUCAUGAUUUCCGAAGAGCAAAGUCAUGGAAGAUGUCAUCAAAUGAUUAGCUAUAAAGUUUAUCACUCUCUAUGCACAUAAUGAUUAAUGCAGGCAGCUUUUUUGCAGCAUUGAUGUUUGCAGUUCACUCUUAAUCCUCUUCAGCAAUGAACAUGAAAUUUUAACUGAGCAGUUUGUUACCAUUGCAGUUAUUUUUUUUAGUAUAAUGGCCCAUUAGACUAAACAAUAGCUGCAACAUUGCUUCUACGUUAGGAAAACUAACUGAAUCAUAUCUUGGAAGACAACUCGAUAAAGGUCCUUGUGGCAUAAAUGUCCAUAAUCUGAAUAAUUUAGCUUGAUAUAAGCAUGUAAAUGCUGUACAGUAUUUCUCAACAAAGUUAACAUCAACAUCACCAAGAUAGUCUUCUAUCAGAGCUUUACAUCUUCACACAACUGUUCUUCUGAUGCUUCUAAAUCAACUAAAAUUGGAAAUACAAUAUUUUGCAACGUUAUCACAUGUGAUUGCUUUUUUUUUUACAUGGAGAUUAGCAGAUCAGGACUGUGUUGCCACACUAUUAGGGCUCAUGUGAUGUCGGCAAGAUGAUGAUGACUUGAGUUCACAAGUGUUGCGUGUCAAUUACAAUUACACAAAAUGUUGUAAUUAAGUUUAAUUUAAAUCACAAUUACUCCAAGUCUGGUUUUGAUGGAGUCUCCUACAAAACUUAAGUGACUUGUCUGUAAUGGUUCGAGUGAGGUUAGGCCUUAAUCUGUAGCUUACUUAGUUUUUGCCUAAAUCCAGCACUGCUAUCAAAGAUGGAAUUUUUUUAUGUCUAGAUGAUAGUAGAAGAUAAUACUGUAUACUGUACAUAUUAUUUUAUUUUAAGGUGUCAACACUUUCUUUUCUUAUAUUAUUGGGGUUCUGGGUGUAGACAAGACCAACAGUUGCCUGGAGCAACUGGUGGAGUCAUUUGCCAAGGUCUGGGAAUAUUUGUUUAUAAAAUGAACCAACCUGAUCUAUCUAACCUAACCUAAAGUAUUAGUUAUAAAUUUCUUUUAAUACAAGUAUUUAUAAAAAAAAAAAAAAAUCCUGUCCAUGAAAGGAACCAACAAAA
rnacentral:misc_RNA from 1 species